rnacentral:rRNA from 1 species
CUAUGUGUUGUUGGGUAGGGGAGCGUUCUGUAAGCCGUUGAAGGUGUCCUGUGAGGGAUGCUGGAGGUAUCAGAAGUGCGAAUGCUGACAUAAGUAACGAUAAUGCGGGUGAAAAACCCGCACGCCGGAAGACCAAGGGUUCCUGUCCAACGUUAAUCGGGGCAGGGUGAGUCGACCCCUAAGGCGAGGCCGAAAGGCGUAGUCGAUGGGAAACGGGUUAAUAUUCCCGUACUUGGUGUUACUGCGAAGGGGGGACGGAGAAGGCUAUGUUGGCCGGGCGACGGUUGUCCCGGUUUAAGCGUGUAGGUGUGUGUUCCAGGUAAAUCCGGUUCACUUUAACACUGAGGCGUGAUGACGAGGCACUACGGUGCUGAAGCAACAAAUGCCCUGCUUCCAGGAAAAGCCUCUAAGCAUCAGGUAACAUCAAAUCGUACCCCAAACCGACACAGGUGGUCAGGUAGAGAAUACCAAGGCGCUUGAGAGAACUCGGGUGAAGGAACUAGGCAAAAUGGUGCCGUAA